ensembl:snRNA
CUUAUAUAUGAAAGGAAAGAAAGUUAGAACUCCUUGACAAGAAUGGAAGAGGCCCUCAGGCCUCACAGCACACAGACCACUAAGGCAUUGCCACCUACUUUGUGGCUUUUGCCACUUCUUGUU